rnacentral:lncRNA from 1 species
CAACAUGAGGAUACGAUCUGACUCACUCGAUUCUAUGGAACAGUAGUCGAUUAAUUUUUAUCUUUGAUCACUCUCACGAUAAGAGCACAUCAGAAGCGCUCCCCUUCCUCCUAGUGUGAAGCCCCUUUGGCUGCCUCCUUGGGCAACAUGCGAAGAUCAAAGAGAGAGGAAGAGGUUAGGUAGAAAGAGUCACUUUGAUGCUUCUUAUCAAAUUAGGGUUACAAUGUACAUACAUACAUACAUACAUACAUACACACACACACACACACACACACACACACACACACACACACCUAUAUACAUGGACUAAAACCC